UACGGAGGGUCCGAGCGUUGUCCGGAAUUACUGGGCGUAAAGAGCUCGUAGGUGGUUUGUCGCGUUGUUCGUGAAAACUCACAGCUUAACUGUGGGCGUGCGGGCGAUACGGGCAGACUGGAGUACUGCAGGGGAGACUGGAAUUCCUGGUGUAGCGGUGAAAUGCGCAGAUAUCAGGAGGAACACCGGUGGCGAGGCGGGUCUCUGGGCAGUAACUGACGCUGAGGAGCGAAAGCGUGGGGAGCGAACAGG
rnacentral:rRNA from 1 species